rnacentral:rRNA from 1 species
ACGGGUGAGUAAUCCGUAGGAACUUACCCUUCAGAGGGGGAUAACCAGGGGAAACCCUGGCUAAUACCGCGUAAUCUCGAGAGAGCAAAGCUGCCGCAAGGUGGCGCUGAAGGAGAGGCCUGCGUCCGAUUAGCUGGUUGGUGGGGUAAGAGCUCACCAAGGCGACGAUCGGUAACUGGUCUGAGAGGACGACCAGUCACACUGGGACUGAGACACGGCCCAGACUCCUACGGGAGGCAGCAGUGGGGAAUAUUGGACAAUGGGGGAAACCCUGAUCCAGCGAUGCCGCGUGGGUGAAGAAGGCCUUCGGGUUGUAAAGCCCUUUAGGUUAGGAAGAAGGGGUAGUGGGGAUAAUCCAUUAUCUUUGACGGUACUAACAGAAUAAGCACCGGCAAACUCUGUGCCAGCAGCCGCGGUAAUACAGAGGGUGCGAGCGUUAAUCGGAUUUACUGGGCGUAAAGGGCACGUAGGCGGUGAAAUGGGUGGGAUGUGAAAGCCCCAGGCUCAACCUGGGAAGUGCAUCGCAAACUAUUUGACUGGAGUAUAAGAGAGGGUGGCGGAAUUUCCGGUGUAGCG